rnacentral:pre_miRNA from 1 species
AGUGGGAUAGCUGGGUCAUAGGGUUCCAUUUUGAGUUUUCUGAGGAAUCUUCAUAUUGCUUUCCAUAGUGGUUGCACCAAUUUGCAGUCCCACCAGCAAU